UAACCCAGCAGGCACUCAACGUUGAUUCAACGUUGAAACAAGGUUGUUUCUCAACGUUGAAACAAUGUCAAAUUUAUGUUUGAUUUUGAAAAUUUGAAUUAACGUUGUCAUUUCAACGUUGAAGUUUCAACAUCCAUUCAACGUUGAUUCAAGGUUGAAUAGUAGUUGAAAGUAUAAUAAUGAAAUUUAUUAUAAAGCUACAACACCACAUUUUUUACCUGCUUUCCAAAUGUUUGCUGUUGUUAGAUGGUAAACAGGGAGUGUGGGUGUACAUGUUUUUUUAUGUUUUUCCCUCUCGCCAAUACACAUAUUUACAAAAUAGAUAAGUUAAAUGGAAG
rnacentral:lncRNA from 1 species